AUACGGAAGGCAGCAGUGAGGAAUAUUGGUCAAUGGGCGCAAGCCUGAACCAGCCAUCCCGCGUGCAGGAUGACGGCCCUAUGGGUUGUAAACUGCUUUUAUACACCAAGAAAAAUCUCCACGUGUGGGGACCCGACGAUAGUGUAUGAAUAAGCAUCGGCUAACUCCGUGCCAGCAGCCGCGGUAAUACGGAGGAUGCGAGCGUUAUCCGGAUUCAUUGGGUUUAAAGGGUGCGUAGGCGGCUUUUUAAGUCAGUGGUGAAAUCCUGUCGCUUAACGAUAGAAUUGCCAUUGAUACUGAUAAGCUUGAGUACAGUUGAGGUAAGCGGAAUGUGUAGUGUAGCGGUGAAAUGCUUAGAUAUUACACAGAGCACCGAUUGCGAAGGCAGCUUACUAAACUGUUACUGACGCUGAUGCACGAAAGCGUGGGGAGCGAACAGGAUUAGAUACCCCGGUAGUCC
rnacentral:rRNA from 1 species